rnacentral:rRNA from 1 species
GACGAACGCUGGCGGCGUGCUUAACACAUGCAAGUCGAACGGUGAAGCGCCUUCCUUUUUGGUGGGUGUGGAUGAGUGGCGAACGGGUGAGUAACACGUGAGUAACCUGCCCCCUUCUUCUGGAUAACCGCAUGAAAGUGUGGCUAAUACGGGAUAUUCUGGGUCUGUCGCAUGAUGGGUCUGGGAAAGAUAUUGUUUCGGUGGGGGAUGGGCUCGCGGCCUAUCAGCUUGUUGGUGGGGUGAUGGCCUACCAAGGCGGUGACGGGUAGCCGGCCUGAGAGGGUGGACGGUCACACUGGGACUGAGACACGGCCCAGACUCCUACGGGAGGCAGCAGUGGGGAAUAUUGCACAAUGGGCGCAAGCCUGAUGCAGCGACGCCGCGUGCGGGAUGGAGGCCUUCGGGUUGUGAACCUCUUUCGCCAGUGAAGCAGGCCUGCCUCGUUUGUGGGUGGGUUGACGGUAGCUGGAUAAGAAGCGCCGGCUAACUACGUG